AGUGAACGCUGGCGGUAGGCCUAACACAUGCAAGUCGAACGGCAGCACAGUAAGAGCUUGCUCUUACGGGUGGCGAGUGGCGGACGGGUGAGGAAUACAUCGGAAUCUACUUUUUCGUGGGGGAUAACGUAGGGAAACUUACGCUAAUACCGCAUACGACCUACGGGUGAAAGCAGGGGAUCUUCGGACCUUUCGCGAUUGAAUGAGCUGAUGUCGGAUUAGCUAGUUGGCGGGGUAAAGGCCCACCAAGGCGACGAUCCGUAGCUGAUCUGAGAGGAUGACCAGCCACACUGGAACUGAGACACGGUCCAGACUCCUACGGGAGGCAGCAGUGGGGAAUAUUGGACAAUGGGCGCAAGCCUGAUCCAGCCAUACCGCGUGAGUGAAGAAGGCCUUCGGGUUGUAAAGCCCUUUUGUUGGGAAAGAAAAGCAGCAGGUUAAUACCCCGCUGUUCUGACGGUACCCAAAGAAUAAGCACCGGCUAACUUCGUG
rnacentral:rRNA from 1 species